rnacentral:rRNA from 1 species
UGGAUGCUGACGAGCGGCGGACGGGUGAGUAAUGCAUAGGAAUCUGCCCGAUAGUGGGGGAUAACCUGGGGAAACCCAGGCUAAUACCGCAUACGUCCUACGGGAGAAAGGGGGCUCCGGCUCCCGCUAUGGGAUGAGCCUAUGUCGGAUUAGCUAGUUGGUGAGGUAACGGCUCACCAAGGCCACGAUCCGUAGCUGGUCUGAGAGGAUGAUCAGCCACAUCGGGACUGAGACACGGCCCGAACUCCUACGGGAGGCAGCAGUGGGGAAUAUUGGACAAUGGGGGAAACCCUGAUCCAGCCAUGCCGCGUGUGUGAAGAAGGCCCUCGGGUUGUAAAGCACUUUCAGCGAGGAAGAACGCCUGGCGGUUAAUACCCGCUAGGAAAGACAUCACUCGCAGAAGAAGCACCGGCUAACUCCGUGCCAGCAGCCGCGGUAAUACGGAGGGUGCAAGCGUUAAUCGGAAUUACUGGGCGUAAAGCGCGCGUAGGUGGCUUGAUAAGCCGGUUGUGAAAGCCCCGGGCUCAACCUGGGAACGGCAUCCGGAACUGUCAAGCUAGAGUGCAGGAGAGGAAGGUAGAAUUCCCGGUGUAGCGGUGA